GAUCUCUCAAAUCUUAUUGGAUGCAUGAAUCUCUUCCUAUCUUCCCACUUUUGUCUCAGUGUAAAAUAUCUGCAAUCCUUGAUGCAUAUAUCUCCUGAUUAUCCUCUAAUAAUUCUUUCUUUCUUCUAUGUUUUAAAUGCAGUGCCGCAUAAACAAUAACCUGCACAAUGCCAAGAAUGAAAAUGUAGGGGCAAGAUUGAAACCAUGGCCAGAGAUUCGGUUGCUUUCAAACGACCGAAAACAAAACAAGUAGAGAUAAAAACUGAAGGUGCACACCUCUCUUGUACCGGGACCAGUAUUGACAGCACAAUGGAUGCAAACUUUUCCAUCUUGAAAUCCUACUUACUUCCAAAGUCAUACCAUCAUCUUCGACAUUCAACUCUAAUUCAGGUGGUGAUAUCAAAGAGGCAAGAUUAUCCAAUUCAUCAUACGAUUGUUGAGCAACACCAACCUGCGAACUCAAAAGAGCUGAAAUCCUAAGCUACUAAAAGCAUGGACUAGAAUAUUUUGUACUGUAGGUAGCGGAUCCUUGCCUGGCGCCAUAUACAACCUUGUUGUAACUCAGUAUCCACAGGGAUAUCUACAUUUAACUGUAUGCUAACUCUGCCUGUUACACAGACAAUAAAACUCCAGGAUCAAAGAAGCACCAAAACAGCUUACUCUACAUGAGAACUAAUGUUG
rnacentral:lncRNA from 1 species